rnacentral:rRNA from 1 species
UGGGGAAUAUUGCACAAUGGGCGCAAGCCUGAUGCAGCCAUGCCGCGUGUAUGAAGAAGGCCUUCGGGUUGUAAAGUACUUUCAGCGGGGAGGAAGGGAGUAAAGUUAAUACCUUUGCUCAUUGACGUUACCCGCAGAAGAAGCACCGGCUAACUCCGUGCCAGCAGCCGCGGUAAUACGGAGGGUGCAAGCGUUAAUCGGAAUUACUGGGCGUAAAGCGCACGCAGGCGGUUUGUUAAGUCAGAUGUGAAAUCCCCGGGCUCAACCUGGGAACUGCAUCUGAUACUGGCAAGCUUGAGUCUCGUAGAGGGGGGUAGAAUUCCAGGGGUAGCGGUGAAAUGCGUAAAGAUCUGGAGGAAUACCGGUGGCGAAGGCGGCCCCCUGGACGAAGACUGACGCUCAGGUGCGAAAGCGUGGGGAGCAAACAGG